CCGUUUGUCGAAAGGAGAAGGCACCGGAGGUAGGAGAUUGAAACCCAACCCACGCUCGCCGGAGAAACUUGAGCUUUAGAUCCACGGGUGUUCGGCGGUCGACUUCGGAUGGAUACAAACCGAGGAGGGAAGUCGAACGAAGGAAGAAUGCCAAGUUGUUAUGUAUAUGCGGGAGGACGAUCUAUGAGAUUUGAGGAGGAUCGUGGGUGUCGGAAACGAAUCAGAGGAUGAGGCGACGACAAGCAUGCAGAGGAAUUAUCUGAGGAGUUUGGCAAGUUUUGGACUAAAGACGUAAAUCGGAACAAAAAGUGUCACGCUUUUCAGGUGGAAAUUGAUGUAGCGAUCGAGGCGGAGGCACAGGGGGCGGAGGCACAGGGGGCUGUUGGCUAUAGAGAGUUCCAUCACAUUUGAGUUGAGUUUCUUUGUACCUACCUUUAAAUCCGGCCUUUCAUGUAUUUUAAUUAGUUGUCCGAACGACGUUGUAUC